CCAAAUGCCUGGUAGUAGAAGAUACAUUGAUCCUGAAGGAAUUUUCCUAAGUGGAGGCUCAUCCGUUGUACUCUGGGUGUGCUGAUCCCUGCAAUUUCCCUAAAUGUAAACCUGACUGUGUAAUUUGUGGUAAUUGUCAAAGUAUUAACAG
rnacentral:snRNA from 1 species